rnacentral:misc_RNA from 1 species
AGGUUUCUCAAGUUGCUGCAAUCUUCUAGGAUUUUCUUAUUAUUGUUUGAUGUUUUGCUUCUCAUCUGUAAUUAGCUUUAGUUUUGUAUCUGUGUUAUAUUGUCCUUUUUUUGUCAUUAUUUUUCUUACAACAAUUUAAUUUUAUCUAGUUGACAUAAUUGAAAUUUGAAAGGGAUUGAUGAGGUCUUAAUUUCAGUUAUAUGGAGAAGAGAUGUAUUGAAGCAUCAUUGUGGAAGGGUUUAUUGGGUUUCUCGAAAAAAUAUAUCCGAGGUUAAAUUUUUCAUGCAUUUUGUAAAAGAAUUGUCACUUGAGAAGAUAAUCCUCUAUAUUUGUCUACCAUAUCUAUUCGGCAAACCAUUCAAGUCUAGAUGCCAACUAUUCAAGUCCAAGUUUAGGGAAACAAAAACUGAUUCCUUGGUAGAAAUUGUUAAGGGUUUGAAAAAUAGAAAGAGAUUGGGUAAGAAGUGAAGAGGAAAAUAAUAUAGUCCGACUCUCUUGUUGGUUAUACCAAUUACCUUUUCAUCAUGACUAGAUGCAAUGGUAGGAUACUCUGGUUAUACCAAUUAGCUCUUAGCAUUUGUCUUUCUUGAUGAGUGGGCAUUAAGUGUAUGUAAAUAGCCUUUGAAAAUAGUAAUUAACCAUUGAUUGAUUCCUAAAUAGUUCAAACAAUUAUAAUAUACCAUUUAUGUUUGAGACUGUAUAACAAACCUGUAGUUUUUAUUUUAUGCAUCUGCUCAAGUAAUCUGACCAAUUUAAAUAUUGCCAUGACUUUAUCCCAAUGUGACUCUACAAAAAAAGCCAUCUUCCUCCAAUGGAUGAACAUAUAAAAUUGGAAUAUGAUUUGCUGCUAGUAAACUGGUG